ensembl:misc_RNA Metazoa_SRP Metazoan signal recognition particle RNA
GCUGGGCAUGGUGGUGCACACCUGUAGUCCUGGCUACUCAGGAGGCUGAGACAGGAGGAUUGCUUGAGCCCAGGAGUUCAGGUCUGCAGUGAGCUGUGAUCCUGCCACUGCACUCCAGCUUAGGUGACAGAGCAAGAUCCUGCCUCUA